rnacentral:sRNA from 1 species
AAAACACAAACAGACAGCAGCAAUGUAAGGAGCUAUGAGUAGAAAUUGAAAGACAGCAAAAUGUCCUGGUUACACCAUAACGAGAAGUUAUCCAAUGAGAAAGCCGCUUAAAUUUUGGAGGAUUAACGAUGGACGACAGAGCUAAAACGCUUUGUUUGUGAGAGACUUUUAAGCGCGCGUAAAAAAGGAGAGAGUUAAAC